CCAAGGAGUCUGACAUGUGCGCAAGCCGUCGCGCUACUCAAGCGCAGAAGGCGCAGUGAAAGCGUUUUUUUUUAAAUAUCGUUGGGAUCCCCGUUCAAGGGGGCGCACCAACCGUCCGCCUACUCAGUUUCCGUUCUGUGUGGCGGAACGUGAGCGUACACGUCGGGACCCGAAAGGUGGUGAACUAUGCCUGGGCAGGACGAAGCCAGAGGAAACUCUGGUGGAGGUCCGUAGCGAUUCUGACGUGCAAAUCGAUCGUCGGACCUGGGUAUAGGGGCGAAAGACUAAUCGAACCAUC
rnacentral:rRNA from 1 species